rnacentral:rRNA from 1 species
UACGUAGGGGGCGAGCGUUGUUCGGAAUCACUGGGCGUAAAGGGCGCGUAGGCGGCCCUCCUAGUCGCGUGUGAAAGCCCCGGGCUCAACCUGGGAACGGCGCGCGAAACGGGGGGGCUGGAGUUCGGGAGAGGAGCGUGGAAUUCCCAGUGUAGAGGUGGAAUUCGUAGAUAUUGGGAAGAACACCGGUGGCGAAGGCGGCUCUCUGGGACGGUACUGACGCUGAGACGCGAAAGCGUGGGGAGCGAACAGG